rnacentral:rRNA from 1 species
AUUGAACGCUGGCGGCAGGCCUAACACAUGCAAGUCGAACGAGUGGCGGACGGGUGAGUAAUGUCUGGGAAACUGCCUGAUGGAGGGGGAUAACUACUGGAAACGGUAGCUAAUACCGCAUACCAUCAGAUGUGCCCAGAUGGGAUUAGCUCGUUGGUGGGGUAACGGCUCACCAAGGCGACGGUCCCUAGCUGGUCUGAGAGGAUGACCAGCCACACUGGACCUGAGACAGGGUCCAGCCUCCUACGUGAGGCAGCAGUGGGGAAGAUUGCACAAUGGGGGCAGGCCUGAUGCGGCCAUGCCGCGUGUAUGAAGAAGGCCUUCGGGUUGUAAAGUACUUUCAGCGUGAAGGCGUUACCCGCAGAAGAAGCACCGGCUAACUCCGUGCCAGCAGCCGCGGUAAUAC